rnacentral:lncRNA from 1 species
AACCCUGUCAUUUGUCAUCCUGGGAGUCUGCGGGAGCAGGAACUGCUUAAAGAGUGUUUCCUUCAUUUCUUGGGAGCAAUCUAGGAGUCUUGGCAGCCACUUAGACAAACCAGUUGAGGACGUUCUUGGCUGUCAGAGACCAUGCCAGUUGGGACAGGAUGCAGUAAGAACCAGGUAUCCUCAGUGACCAGCAUGCCAGUGGGAGGCUUCCUACAGACAUACUGGGAGCAGAUAAGUGGUGCCUCAUCCCCCUGUGACCCACCUUAUGGACUGCAAGCCUCGAGAAUGCCUCCCUUGCCUGCUAGCCUUGGGGAACUUCUAGAAAGAUGCUUUGGGCUAUGUCCAGUCUCCUCAGGCUUCCCACCCAGGUUCCUCCUCCUCUCCUGAUACCUGAGGGGUUAGUUAGUAACCUCUCUGUCUGUGGUGUUUCCAGUAGGGAGCUGUUGGUGGCGCAGUCUUCCUUUUUGCAGGUGACUUUGUUCUGUUUUAAAUACUAAACAGAGUUUCCUGAGAAUGAAUUUUCAAACUAUUUGAAACCUGAACUAUAUCAUAUAGAAACAUUUAUACAAAUUUCAGGACAGGAAUAAUUAUAGUAAUAGACUUUUUCUUUAUCUUGUUUGAUGUCAUCUGAUGCUUUUGUUCUUUACCAACUUGAUGUGAGAAUUCAAGUGCUUGAGCAUUACCUAGCUGUGAGAGCCUGUGAAAGAUAAUCCCAUGGCUUGAGGGAGGCUGGGCAGAGUAAUGGAAAGAGAGAGGGGAAGAGCCUGGGAGAGGCCAGGGGACACUGUUCUACACUGAGAGAAACCAGGGGAUGGUGUUCUGCACUGAGAGAGGCCAAGGGACGGUGUUCUGCACUGAGAGAGACCAGGGGACAGUGUUCUGCACUGAGAGAGGCCAGGGGACAGUGCUCUGCACUGAGAGAGGCCAGGGGACAGUGUUCUACACUGAGUGAGGCCAGGGGACAGUGUUGGUGUUCUGCACUGAGAGAGGCCAAGGGACGGUGUUCUGCACUGAGAGAGGCCAGGGGACAGUGUUCUGCACUGAGAGAGGCCAGGGGACAGUGUUCUGUACUGAGAGAGGCCAGGGGACAGUGUUCUACACUGAGAGAGGUCAGGGGACAGUGUUCUGCACUGAGAGAGGCCAGGGGACAGUGUUCUGCACUGAGAGAGGCCAGGGGACAGUGUUUUGCACUGAGAGUGGCCAGGGGACAGUGUUCUGCACUGAGAGAGGCCAGGGGACAGUGUUCUACACUGAGUGAGGCCAGGGGACAGUGUUUUGCACUGAGAGUGGCCAUGGGACAGUGUUCUGCACUGAGAGAGACCAGGGGACAGGGUUCUAUACUGAGAGAGACCAGGGGACAGUGUUCUGCACUGAGAGUGGCCAGGGGACGGUGUUCUGCACUGAGAGAGGCCAGGGGACAGUGUUCUGCACUGAGAGAGGCCAGGGGACAGUGUUCUGCACUGAGAGAGACCAGGGGACAGUGUUCUAUACUGAGAGAGACCAGGGGACAGUGUUCUGCACUGAGAGUGGCCAGGGGACGGUGUUCUGCACUGAGAGAGGCCAGGGGAUGGUGUUCUACACUGACCCCAGGAGAUGCUCAGAGGGAAACAUUGGGCCUAAAGAAUACAUUCCAUCUCGGCCUUUUAUUUUUGCAUAAGUGUUCUCUAGGAAAGCAAUUGUGAGCAUCACGACCUCCCAUAUACCCUCUUUAAAAUGAACAGUUCACUUGUGUCUGAACAAUUUCACUUUAGGGUCCCUGUACUUAUUUGUUUUAUUUAUUUGUAUUGAAUGUAUGAAUUUGGGGGCAGUAUAUAUAUAUUUUUUUAUUUCAAAAAGAGGGCAGGAUUUUCUUUUUCUUAUUUCCUCAUCUAUUUGCAGCUGCCCUGCAAAGUGAGGUGUGUGGGGCCAGGCAGGGCUGUCUGACCCUGCAAGACUCUAGCCUGUAGCUGAGGUGGGCACUUCUCUGUCCCCCCAGUGGCAGGAGUCCUCAAAGCCAGGCCCCAGACGACACAGACGUUUGUGUUUCUGGAGGGAGGCCUGGAUCCUUCUCAUUUCUAAUUGUGCCUGGCAGAGAAUGUGACACAUAUUGGGCACUCAUUAAAUACUAAAUUAUGAGGCCACUGCAUAUACAUUAACCACAGAGGCUAGUUAUUCAGAGAAUAGAUCUAAGACUUAUUGAAUAUUUUGUCUUCAGGAAAAGGAGCUGAGGGUGGGUGAGCGAUUUGGAAACUUCUUUCCUUACCUGCUGCUUUCUCCUAAAUUUAAAGUUCUCCUCUGGAGUUGCAAAAGGCAUUAGCCAUGUUUGAAUAUUAGAGGGCGGUUCCUACUCCUGGAAUUGAUUUUGAAGCCCUGGACACUUAAUAAGUAAGGCCAGUCUCAGGCUUUUAUAAUAAAUAAAGCAGACAUGUACAAUUUGGAUUAGAAUUAGCAUGUUUCCCAUAUCCGCCUCUAGCUUCCGUCCGGGCUGUUAGCUCUUUUGACUGUGACCCUUGGAGCCCCAAGCACACAGCUGGCAUUCAAACCUGCAACAGUAAUAAAUGGACAUGUCUCUCCGUCACCUGCCUUCCCCUGAAGACUGUGACCGCACUAUGGAAAUUCCGUAGCCUGUAUUUCCACCCACUCUCUGGUUCCACUUUCUAGCUGAGUUCCAAAGGUUUUGGGGUGGUAGAAGCUCUGUCCUAGCUUCCUGGGGGUCAGGGAGGUGAGUAGUGACAACCUUCCUGGUGUUCUCGGAACAGCGCAAGUGGGUUCUGGGUUUGUAUCUACACCAAACCAGGAUGUGCUGUGAGUGGGAAAGACUUUUGAGUUGGAAUAUAGGAUGGAGUCCUUCAUAGAACUUUCAGAAAUGAGAAAUGGGUUACAGGGUGAAUACUGUUGUGGGUAUAUUCAGUUAAAUAAAGUGUGCUGCUAAACG